rnacentral:rRNA from 1 species
CCACUUUGUGAUUCAUGACUGGGGUGAAGUCGUAACAAGGUAACCGUAGGGGAACCUGCGGUUGGAUCACCUCCUUACCUUAAGAUAC